rnacentral:rRNA from 1 species
GAUGAACGCUGGCGGCGUGCCUAAUACAUGCAAGUCGAGCGAACAGACGAGGAGCUUGCUCCUCUGACGUUAGCGGCGGACGGGUGAGUAACACGUGGAUAACCUACCUAUAAGACUGGGAUAACUUCGGGAAACCGGAGCUAAUACCGGAUAAUAUAUUGAACCGCAUGGUUCAAUAGUGAAAGACGGUUUUGCUGUCACUUAUAGAUGGAUCCGCGCCGCAUUAGCUAGUUGGUAAGGUAACGGCUUACCAAGGCGACGAUGCGUAGCCGACCUGAGAGGGUGAUCGGCCACACUGGAACUGAGACACGGUCCAGACUCCUACGGGAGGCAGCAGUAGGGAAUCUUCCGCAAUGGGCGAAAGCCUGACGGAGCAACGCCGCGUGAGUGAUGAAGGUCUUCGGAUCGUAAAACUCUGUUAUUAGGGAAGAACAAAUGUGUAAGUAGCUGUGCACGUCUUGACGGUACCUAAUCAGAAAGCCACGGCUAACUACGUG